rnacentral:misc_RNA from 1 species
UCCCCGUUGCCGGGGCAGUCUGAUUAGAAAAAUACAACUAAUCACAAGGGUUGCGCUCGUUGAUGGACUUAACCAAACAUCUCACGACACGAGCUGACGACGGCCAUGCAGCACCUGUCACUCAGUUCCCGAAGGCACUCACGUCUUUCGACAUAAUUCUGAGGAUGUCAAGCCCUGGUAAGGUUCUUCGCUUAGCAUCGAAUUAAAGAACAUCAUCCACUACUUGUGUGGGUCCCCGUCAAUUCCUUUAUGUUUUAGUCUUGCGACCGUACUCCACAGGCGGGGUGCUUAACGCGUUAGCUUCGCUACUGAAGGGGUCGAUACCUCCAACAGCUAGCACCCAUCGUUUACGGCGUGGACUAC